CAGGGGCUUCAGUUUAUGUAGUCUAGUAGUCAACAUGGACUAUGCAGGGUCUUCAGUAUGAUGAAAAGCAUAAAACUUUGCUUCAGUUAAUGUAAGCGUUAGUCAACAAAAAUUUCCAUAGUUUUUGAAAGGUCAACAAGCAUUUGUAACAUAAUUGAAAAAAUAAAUAUAAAAGGUGGAUUCCCUGAUGUUUUUGUUAAUUGUUUACUUUUCAGCCAUUAGAGAAAAGCUCAAGAACUCUGCUUAUAUCACUACCAAAUUUGCAAGGAAAACCCAAUUCUGAUGUACUCUGUUUUUUUUUUUGGGAAGACAUUUUUGACGUACUUAAUUGGUAACCAACAUUCAGUUCAAACCUCACAUUGGUUCUUUCAUCAAUUUACUGAGAAGUGACAUGCCCGUUCAAUCUGGAAUUAAGUUUGGCACAUCUAUUAUCCAAAAGUGUAGCUUGGGAUUCAAUUGCUAGGGAAGAGAAAUACAACCACCCAACCGAACAAGGCUAUACAGGCUGACAAUUAAAGUAACUAGAUUCACAAGAAAAAACAGAUUAAAUAAAUGUUCUAUUAAAAAGGAAACAGUAUAUAAAGGCGAUGAAUAAGAAGAAAAGCUAUUAGAACAAAACCUUGUGUAGUAGGAAAGUUUGUCCAUCCACCGAUACCGUUACAUCCUCUGCGACAUCUGAAAAUAUCCUGCACAACAGGCAAUGUUCCAGAAGUUUCAGGCAGCAAGAUCUGUACUUGAAUUGGCAAUAUGUAAACUUGAAGCAUAGAGUUUUUAACAACAAUACACCACAUUGCCUUAGCUAUACACUCCUGAGAACACCAAAUGCUGAAGAAACAACUAAUGACAACAAAUCAUUCCAGUCAAUGCUGCAAGUACUUGAACUCUGCUUGUACCAUAAUACUGUUGAUGAAUUUCUCAAGAAACUUCUUAAAUCUUGUGACUUUCUAGGGAGCACAAAAGAUUAGGAAUGCAUCUGAUGACCCUUCGAGGAGCAAAAGCAUUUUCAGAGUAGCAGUUUUGUGAGUCCUUCCAAAACCUUCAACCGGUUCAACCCUGAAGAUGGCAUUUUGCCUCCUCCCCGUAGUUCCGUUCCGGCGUUCCCCUGAAUGCGUCGUGUUCGUAGAAACAAACUGGUGGGUGGUGGCGCUAGGGCGGCGUCCAAAUCAGUUGAGAUUUCAGAAUGGAAUACAGACUUGAGCCAUCGCAGCGAAAACCAAAAAUCUCAAACAAGAAAAGCCGCCGCCGCCGCAAAUGGUGAGGUGAUCUAAGACUAUGAAGGCAUUGCAAUCUGUUUCUCCAAAUAUGCAAAGCCGAUUGAACUCAGGAAGGAAAAAGUGGAAAAUGGAGCAGGAGAUGGGAAUCCUCACCUCCUAUGGCUGAUGGGGUUGCGGAAGCGCGGGGACGUCGUGGUGGUAGCGAAGGGAAACACGGCGUUGUCGCUUCCCAUCCCCAUUGCUUUGCCGCCGAUUCUUCUUCCUUCUCUUCCUCUCCCUCCCUCCCUCUCUCUCUCUCUGAAAUGUGAGCGAUGUGGAGGAGAAGAGGACGAGGAGCAAGAAUAGUCGGCUGGUCGUCGGCGCGUGGCAUUAACAAAUUCUCAAAGAAAAGAAAGCAGCAAGGUGAGACGACACGACAGAGCAUUCUUGUGUCUUGAUGUGGGUGGAUUAGCUGAGGAUGGAACAGAGAAAAGUGACUCGACGGAGGAAUAGUUGGGUGACUAGGGAACAACCCCUGCUCCACUGUCAGCUUGUGGCUGCUUCAUCAUUGAAGCCUUCAAAGGGCUCUGGAUCUUGUGUGGCUGCUUGCUUCGCGUGAAUUAUGUAAACACAGUAGUUCUGCAGAAACUGUUUAAAUUCUCCGAGAUUCCUAAUGAAUCAUACACUUUAGGAAGAGUGUUUGGUGUAAAAACUUUCUUACCACUAUACUCCCUCCAUCUAUAUUUACAAGGCAUAGUAUGAUUUGACAAGAUCUUCCGGAUAACACUUUGACUAUUCAUUUAUCUCAUAUUAUAUUGUUUUAUAAAUUUAUAAUCAUUGUAGAGUAUAUUUGAUUACAAAUUCAACCAUAUAAAAUUUACAUUAUAGAAAUAAAAAUUUAAUAGUCAAAUUAUUGGUAAAAAGUUGUAAAGUUUGAAUUUUGAUAUGCGCGUCAGAUCGGUAUCGAACCAACGAGGCUCACAGGCUCACGGUUCUCGGCCAUGCCAUUGGUUCAAAGCCGGCUGAAAAGCUGAAACGGCUGAUUUGUUAUGAGAGGAAAACACUGUUUGGUGGCUGAUAAACUGGCUGAAUAAGCUGAAGCGAAUAGGCCCAAUAUAUAUUUGACACGAAUCAAGCGAAUAUAAGGUCGGGUGGUGUGUUAGAAAGUCGCAAAGUCCAAGUUUUGAAUGAAUACGGUAUUCGAUCUGCAAUUUUUAUUUGAUUUGAGAAAACCAAUGUUUUAAUUUAUCACCAGUCAUUUCUCGCAUAUAAGAAUAUGGAAACAAACACCAGAAUAUAAAUAUAGCUGGCACUAAAUCCACGAAAGCAUGCAAAACAAAUAAAGUAGCGGUAGUAGUAGUAUAUUGUGCUAGAGAGUAGCUAGGGACUAUGGAGUCGGGUAGAAGGCUGGCUGUCUGUCGGUGAAGAAAGGAAAUGAUGGUGAAGCAUGUUGGCUGGCUGCUUGCCCACCCAUCGAGGCCGAGAGUGAGAGGACAGUGGUACGCUUUUCCGCUUUCACUUUAGCAGGCUGCCAUCACCAAGAGCUAGCACCCGCGAGAGGUGAGGUGCCUUUCAUCAGCUUUUGCGGUUUGGCUAGAGGAAGAGCAUAGUGCAGUGCUCGUGAGUAAUCAUUCCAUUUACAAAAUAUCAUAUAAAAUGUCGUAUAAUUUGAAACGGAGGGAAUCCGCAUUGUAUAACGAGUAGGCAUAUGGCUUGCUUUGCUUGCCAUAGUUGUAGUAGACCACGAGGUAAUGUUAGACGACUUGCGUUAGCUGCUUUUGUCAACCGUACGUUGCAUUUUGAUCAGCAUCGAUGCGCAACGACUUUUGCUGGUGGUAGGAAAGGGCAGGGAUAACAUGAUGAUCAAGGGCAGGCAACGUGACAUGAUCAACGGCCCGGCACAGAACUCGAGAAAGGGUAGUGAGUGCUGGAGAAGAGGCGCGCUUUUAAUUUUCUCCUUGCUGUCCCCAUCGCCCAUCAAUCGGCAUCUCCUCGCCCCCUCGCGCCCAACGAACAGUUCUUGCAGUCAAUGUGAAUGCAAAUCUCUCCGGUUGCUUUCAGCCUUCAACCCUUUUGAUCUCGUUGUCGCCGUCAAGAUUCUCGGUUACCGAUUAUGUGCAGGGGCUUCAGUUUAUGCACUCGUGUUUGGAUAUCACGUGCUACCCUUAAAACAACAAUCAUGAAGGCUCAAGCCCACCUGCGGUAAUGACGAUCACCGCCGACCCGUCAUGGGCAAGGAGCACCCCACUCCGUCUCGCCCAACCCGGGGCCCCGGGGUCGAACACGCCCGACCCCUCGAUGGCAAAACUCUGCCUCGCCCGACCCACAGUCCCACGGUCGGGUACGCCCGACCCCUCGCCACAAGCUCCACCUCGUCCGACCCUGGGCGUAGGGGGUCGGACUCAUCCGGGCCCACGAGACAAGGGUCCGCCUCAGGCGCAGACCGGUAGACGAGGGCGCGGAUCUCGUGGGCCCCUCACCGAUCUUGCCAUAAAUGCUCCACGGCUCUAGCGCGGAGAAAGGCGCCCGCACCCCUCGACGUGACCCGCCACAAGUACCUGGGCGGAACACUGUAGCCACGACCGCACAGGCUACAGUGGCCGCGGCUCCCCCUAAUUCGCCAUAGGGCACUCAUUGCAUGCGCCGCCCGGCACAGGAGGGAACGCUACCCGUUCUCGUGCUCGGCCUAUCCGACGACAAGGACGCGACGUCCGUGUUCCACGGGCCGUAAGCAGGACAACAAGGGUCAGUCGUCUCCCCCAACGUGCAUAGUGGGCACGGCCGAACACCAUCAUCAUGCUCGGCGGCGACGGUCCCCCGAAGGAUCGUCGACAGGAUCCGGCGACAGCCGCCCUCCUCCGAUGGCCACGCUGACAGGAGCCGAAGGCCGGAGCAGGAGGCGACGAUCUGGGGACUUGGUCCUUCUCCUCGUAUUUUACUUUACUUAGCUUAUCUCUUUUUUACUUCUCCACACACCUGGCUGACCUGUAACCCUGGUACCCUCCUUGCGUUAUAAAAGGAGAACCAGGGGGCCCGAGACCGAAAAAAAGAGCCAACAGAAUCCACACACUCACCUCACGAGCAUCAGUGCACACCCAAGAGACUUGGGACCGGCUCCCUCUCUCGCCUGUUUGUAACCCCUACUACAGACCACGCGUGAGUAACACGAGCAGCUCCUCAUACUGGACGUAGGGCUUUCCUUGCCCGAACCAGUCUAACCCCGUGUCUUCUCACGCCACCAUCCAAAACCUUACGCGCAUAAAAGAAAUUUACUAGCCGUAGUCUUGAUCCGCUAAUCUCGACAACGACAACAUCGGAUGUUCAGAUGCUAAUUAGGAGGACUAAAUAUGAGCUAAUUAUAAAACUAAUUACACAGAUGGAGUCUAAUUCGCUAGACGAAUCUGUUAAGUCUAAUCAAUCCAUUAUUAGCAAAUGGUUACUGUAGCACCACAUUGUCAAAUAAUGAACUCAUUAGGAUUAAUAGAUUCGUCUCGCGAAUUAGACUCCAUCUGUGCAAUUAGUUUUGUAAUUAGUAUAUGUUUAAUACUCCUAAUUAGUAUCAAACAUCCGAUGUGACAGGUGCUAAACUUUAGCAGGUGGUAUCCAAACACCCCCUAGUCUAGUAGUCAACAUGGACUAUGCAGGGGCUUCAGUAUGAUGAAAAGCAUAAACUUUGCUUCAGUUAACGUAAGCAUUAGUCAACAAAAAUUUCCAUAGAUUUUGAAAGGUCAACAAGCAUUUGUAGCAUAAUUGAAAAAAUAAAUAUAAAAGGUGGAUUCCCUGAUGUUUUUGUUAA
rnacentral:lncRNA from 1 species